ensembl:lncRNA
UAAACAGAAACCUACAGCCAGCUCAGCCACUUCUCCCCCAGUGGAGUGAGUCAUCAGCCCUUGGAUCUAAAGUUAGGUUCACGUCAGAGCUUACUCUCUCUCUCUCUCUCUCAUUUUAUUUUUCUCUUUCUAUUUUGAAGGAUAUGGGAAAAGCUGGGCACUGUCUCCUGGAAGCAGCAAACACAAACCCACAACAGCAACAGAUGCAGGACCUGAUGAUGCCCUAUCUGGGAGCACUGUGGCAAAUAUUGCUUUCUGUCUGACUGCUCCUCUUCCUUGCUGCACGCCCAGGGAUGAGCUUGGACAACAUGCAGCCAUGGCUAACUUGGGCACACAGGGGACCCAGCUCCAAGGGGUUUUGUGCGCUCUGCAGAUGAGCUGGAGGAUGGAAUGGGCUGUGCAGCCAUCCCUGUGGCCACAGCAACAGGAUUCCCUGUGUUUGGCUCCCAUGGUCCAUGCAGGGGAGCAGGAUCUGCAGGAAGGGCUGGGGCUGGCUCAGCCUGGCAGGAGGUCACUUCCAAGAAAGCCCAUCGGUGCCACUCAGGGCAAAUGACAAAACUCUCUGGAAGAGCACUGGGGGUGGCAGAUGGAGCCGUGUGAGCUGCAGGACAAGGAGACCAUCUUCAGUCCCUUCCCUUGUGGAUGGUGGAGAGGAGGGCCUUGCUCAGGCAGGACAACAGCUUCCCAGCCCAGUUGCUGCUCUGGAGGGAUGCCUGAGCUGUGUGUACCAGGAAGCCCAUGGAAAUCCUCCAGAAUGCAUGGAUGGGGAGGGCUGUGGGGAUGAGGGGGCUCUGCUCUGGAGCAUGAACUGCCCUGGGCUUGCUCUUUUCACCAACUCCAAAUCUGUGAUGUGUUGAAUGGCACAUCUCCAUUUCCCCACCCAGCCCCUUUCCCUCUCCCUUCCUUCCAGGUUUGUAACAUGUUUUUGUCCAUUUGAAGGGUUUGUCUGAGUGAGAGUUCAAAUGUCUCCUUAUGCCUGUGCCAUGGAUGUGCUGGAAGGCAAACAGAUAUGAUCCUAGGAUGAAGGCAUGGGAGAUGACCCACGGGUUGUCCUGAGUGUGUGUUUAUGUGCCUCUGUCCUGCUGUGCCCCUCUGCAUGCACUCUUCACCUCCCUGGAACAUUUUGUUUCUUUUGCCUCUCCUUACUGCCCUGUUUCUCCACCCUGCCUCACCCUCUCCCUCUCUCUCCUGCCCUCCUCAUUCUCUUUUUCUCAUUUGAUAUUCAUGCAUGAAUAAAUUCAAUUGCAUUUUUCCCUGUUCCCCCUGA